rnacentral:rRNA from 1 species
AAUAGAUACCCGGGUAGUCCACGCCGUAAACGAUGAGUGCUAGUUGUCGGCAUGCAUGCAUGUCGGUGACGCAGCUAACGCAUUAAGCACUCCGCCUGGGGAGUACGGUCGCAAGAUUAAAACUCAAAGGAAUUGACGGGGACCCGCACAAGCGGUGGAGCAUGUGGUUUAAUUCGACGCAACGCGAAGAACCUUACCUAGGCUAGAAUGUGAGGGAAUGUUGGGUAAUGCCAACAGUCCGGGAAACCGGACCCAAAACAAGGUGCUGCAUGGCUGUCGUCAGCUCGUGUCGCGAGAUGUUGGGUUAAGUCCCGCAACGUAGCGCAACCCUUAUUGAUAGUUGCUAACAUUAAGUUGAGAACUCUAUCAAGACUGCUGUUGAUAAAACGGAGGAAGGUGGGGACGAUGUCAAGUCAUCAUGGCCUUUAUGCUUAGGGCUACACACGUGCUACAAUGGUCGGUACAAAACGUCGCAAUCCCGUAAGGGGGAGCUAAUCGCAAAAACCGAUCUCAGUUCGGA